GCUGGGUAGCUCAGUUGGUUAGAGCAUGGUGCAGACCACACCAAGGUUGCAGGUUCGAUCCCUGUAUGGGACAGCUGCA